AUUGAACGCUGGCGGCAGGCCUAACACAUGCAAGUCGAGCGGAGCGGCGGACGGGUGAGUAAUGCAUAGGAAUCUGCCUGGUCGUGGGGGAUAAGGUCCGGACACGGGCGCUAAUCUCGCAUACUAUCAGAUGAGCCUUGGCCGGAUUAGUUAGUUGGUGGGGUAAAGGCCUACCAAGGCGACGAUCCGUAACUGGUCUGAGAGGAUGAUCAGUCACACUGGAACUGAGACACGGGCCAGACUCCUACGGGAGGCAGCAGUGGGGAAUAUUGGGCAAUGGGCGAAAGCCUGAUCAAGCCAUGCCGCGUGUGUGAAGAAGGUCUUCGGAUUGUAAAGCACUUUAAGUUGGGAGGCGUUACCAACAGAAUAAGCACCGGCUAACUUCGUGCCAGCAGCCGCGGUAAUAC
rnacentral:rRNA from 1 species